ACUGACAUCGGGAGGCACCAAGAGCAGUGCCUCCCACACACAUUAAGACGUGUUUAUACAUAGUAAAUUUAUAUAAAUGCUAAAGGAUUAACUAUUAAAAUAAUACUAAGAAGAUAUUCUGUGUCAUAAGUAUCUUCUUAGUAUUAUUUUAAUCAUUAUGACAGGGGAGGCACUGCCUCCCCUGCCUCCCCUGACUGCACGUCCCUGGGGUUCCCCAUGAUCCCCGGUGGGCCAGUCCAAGCAUGGCGGAUGGGGGCACGGGGGAGGGCACCCGCUUCUUACCUUACUUGAUCUUGAAGCAGGUCCCUCCUCUCCAGUCAGCGCCAUCCAGUGAUAUUUGGGAAGAUGACGCUGGUCUCUAGAGAGCAAAGACUCUGGCACAGUGAUAUUACCAUGAAGAUGGAGGCACCGUCGACAGGCCACAGCACAGGAUAACAACAAUAAUAAUCAUUACAGAAGAAGAGAGAGAAGGUCAAAGCUAGUGAUAAGGCAACAUAAUGUAAUAUGUACAAUUACCACCAACAUUUGUCCAGACAUCUGAUGUAUAGAUUUAUCAUCGAGCAAUAGGAAGCAGAUUGUUACUUCUAUAUACGAGUAUCGUAUGAUGAUAAUAAAGUAUCAACCAACAA